GAAUUCACUAGUGAUUGAGUUUGAUCAUGGCUCAGAUUGAACGCUGGCGGCAUGCCUUACACAUGCAAGUCGAACGGUAACAGCACUUCGGUGGCUGACGAGUGGCGAACGGGUGAGUAAUACAUCGGAACGUGCCCGAGAGUGGGGGAUAACGCAGCGAAAGCUGUGCUAAUACCGCAUACGAUCUACGGAUGAAAGCAGGGGACCGCAAGGCCUUGCGCUCAUGGAGCGGCCGAUGGCAGAUUAGGUAGUUGGUGGGAUAAAAGCUUACCAAGCCGACGAUCUGUAGCUGGUCUGAGAGGACGACCAGCCACACUGGGACUGAGACACGGCCCAGACUCCUACGGGAGGCAGCAGUGGGGAAUUUUGGACAAUGGGCGAAAGCCUGAUCCAGCCAUGCCGCGUGCAGGAUGAAGGCCUUCGGGUUGUAAACUGCUUUUGUACGGAACGAAAAGGUCUUUUCUAAUAAAGAAGGCUCAUGACGGUACCGUAAGAAUAAGCACCGGCUAACUACGUGCCAGCAGCCGCGGUAAUACGUAGGGUGCAAGCGUUAAUCGGAAUUACUGGGCGUAAAGCGUGCGCAGGCGGUUAUAUAAGACAGAUGUGAAAUCCCCGGGCUCAACCCUGGGAACUGCAUUAGUGACUG
rnacentral:rRNA from 1 species